AAUAGUAGCAGGUAAAGCCAUCAGGUUGCAGGUCAAGUCUGCUUCGGCGUGCUAACAUUUUCCUAUAAAUAGAGGGCUAAGUUAGAAUUAAAAAUCACACCAGAAACAAGUUUUCUCUCUUUCUCUCUCUAGAUUAUUGAGUGUAUUUUGUGAGUAUUUAGAUACUUUGUGAGUUUCUAGUCAUUAGUGCAAGUAUCCUUCAGCCUUACACCGAUAUUCCGAUCAGAAGUACUGAUAUUUUGAGGUAAGGGGUGUUAUAUUCUUCUUAAAAUGAUAUUUUUUUUCAUAUUAUUAUGCCGAAAUAUUGUUGAAAGUUUUUAUCAAAUUUAAAACUUUUUGUGUCUGGGUUACUAUUCACGUAUACGGCACUAUUCACGAAUACGACACUAUUCACCGAAAAAUAAAAUUUUCUUCUUUUUGUCCAAGAUGUCUAUUAUGGUUACUAUCUUUGAUUGUAUCCAUGUUUUGAUCUUUAUUUUUGAAUUCUGCUUCACAAUUGGUUAUUAUGAAGUAUUAUUGAUCUUGGAUAAACUGUUAUACGAAUCCCUAAUAUUUGUCCUUCUGUCUCACUGGAUUCGUUUUCUUUAAAAUAUUUUUCAUCAUCCUCAGUCCUAAAUGAUGAUACUAAUGAAUAUCUUUGGCCUGUAGUGCAAAGAUGAAUGAUUACCUAAUGAAUAUCUUUGGCCCGUAGUGCAAAGAUGAACAGGUGUUGAGAUGAACAUGACCAACUGGUGAUACAAAUGAAUAUCUUUGGCCUGUAGUGCAAAGAUGAAUAUUUGAUUAAAGAUGUAUAUUGAUUGAUGUUACAGGGAUAAAAUAUUGAUGAUGAACUUUUAAAUCUUAGAAGAUAGUAGAAUUCUUUCUCUACUUGACUCUUCUAAUGGAUUGCUUAUUCCGCUGCAGUUGUUGAUCUAAAACUUGUUGUCUAUUAUAUUUUAUCAGAUUUUUUCCUAUUGAAGACUAAUGAUAUUUUGUUGUAUAUUAUCUUAGUCAUAAUAUUUUCUUACUGGGCUAGUUGAGCUCACCCUUUCCUUCACUGUUCUAUUCAGGAAAUGAGAAUAUAGCUGGGACUAGUCGGGGAAUGGAUUGACGGUCCAGAUGGUUGCAUUAGUAGUCCUCACUAUUCUGUGAAAUAGCGUAUCAAUAAUUGUAAUGAGGACCCCUUUUGAGUUUUUAUAGUGUCUAUUAGACAAUAGUUGUAUUCAAACUCACAGUAUAUGUGUUGUCGUAUUUUGCACGACAAUUGUAUUACUGAAGUUGUAUUUGUUUUUGUACC
rnacentral:lncRNA from 1 species